rnacentral:lncRNA from 1 species
AUAAAGGCUACUUCUUAGCGAACGACCAAACUGCGAGGGCGAGCGACGAGAGAAACAGCGAGCGGCGAAGAGACC